UUUUGGUCGGGUUCACCCGGUAUUUCAUGUUUCCAGGGUCAAGCCGGUGUUCUCUUCCCCCCUUAAUCCUGCUUGUAGUCGGCCCACCCCCCCGCCCCCUCGUCUUGUGGAUGGAUCUCCCACCUAUACGGUUAAGAGAUUACUCGAUGAGCGGCGCCGCGGCAGGGGGUUUCAGUAUCUUGUGGACUGGGAGGGGUAUGGCCCAGAGGAGAGGUGCUGGGUGCCGUCCCGGGACAUUCUGGACCGCUCGUUGAUUGAGGACUUCCGGCGACAUCGAGGCUCCAGUGUGUUUAGCUGUUUUCUCUGCCCCCUGUUCCCCAGCGCAGAGCUCUUGGAAGCUUCAGUGUCAUCCCUCCGGUCUCAGUGGUCGUACAAAUAACUGUGGAACGUUACUCAUCGGUUUGAUUCAUCUGCUUCGACUAUUCUUCCAGUCACUACGAGUAAUCCUGUGAACGUGACUCAUCUGAUCUGCCUCCUCUGCUUUAAAUAAAGCCUUGCGUAAACCCGCA